GUCUAGGGACCGUGAAAGCAAAAGCUUGGUCCUAUGGAUGAAUCAGUCAGAAUUGCUGAGAUAAGCAUCGAUGACGAGUUGAGAUUGGAAAUGCGAACAAAGUGUUCGUAGAAACUGAUUUGGAAAAAAAACUCAGUAUAGUAUGGAAUGAAAUUGAGAAAUCUUGAAAUGGUGUUGGAAUUUACCUCCCUCCGUUAAACAAUGAAGAGUAAUAUGUAUCUAAGUUUCGCGGACGAAACUUUUGUUAACGAGGGGAGAAUGUAACAUAUGAGAAUCUGGGAGUUGCGAUGUCAACUUUG
rnacentral:lncRNA from 1 species